rnacentral:lncRNA from 1 species
AGAGAGAAAAUAUCUGAAGCAUAUCAGACUGGUCCCACCUGUACGGACAGUCCAGAUCCGAAAUGCCAGUAAGUUCCCUUUGCACAAGGGAUACAGCAACCCCACACGAUCGUUUCAGCCUCGUCAGUGAGGUGUAGCUGAUAACCCUCUAGGCACAGUGAGCACGUGGUCCACGUCUGGAUUACCUGUUGAAACACGUCAAUGCAUUAAAGCAACAAAAGAAAUACUGAGAACUCUAAGAACGGACAAAAGGUUAGAGUAAACUCAAUAGCUUGCCCUUCGGUACAUCCCCGCUAUGGUCUCAAAAUACUUUUUACUCACUUGUGCUAUUGCACCAAACACAGGUACAGACAUCAAUUCUACAAUCACUGCACCAAACACAGGUACAGACACUGACUCCAUAAUCACUGCAUCAAACACAGGUACAGACACUGACUCUACAAUCACUGCAUCAAACACAGGUACAGACACUGACUCUACAAUCACUGCAUCAAACACAGGUACAGACACUGACUCUACAAUCACUGCAUCAAACACAGGUACAGACACUGACUCUACAAUCACUGCAUCAAACACAGGUACAGGCACUGACUCUACAAUCACUGCAUCAAACACAGGUACAGACAUUGACUCUACAAUCACUGCACCAAACACAGGUACAGGCACUGACUCUACAAUCACUGCAUCAAACACAGGUACAGACACUGACUCCAUAAUCACUGCAUCAAACACAGGUACAGACACUGACUCUACAAUCACUGCAUCAAACACAGGUACAGACAUUGACUCUACAAUCACUGCACCAAACACAGGUACAGACAUUGACUCUACAAUCACUGCAUCAAACACAGGUACUGACACUGACUCUACAAUCACUGCAUCAAACACAGGUACAGACAUUGACUCUACAAUCACUGCAUCAAACACAGGUACAGACACUGACUCUACAAUCACUGCAUCAAACACAGGUACAGACACUGACUCUACAAUCACUGCAUCAAACACAGGUACAGACACUGACUCUACAAUCACUGCAUCAAACACAGGUACAGACACUGACUCUACAAUCACUCACUACAGCAUCAAACACAGGUACAGACACUGACUCUACAAUCACUGCAUCAAACACAGGUACAGACACUGACUCUACAAUCACUGCAUCAAACACAGGUACAGACACUGACUCUACAAUCACUGCAUCAAACACAGGUACAGACACUGACUCUACAAUCACUGCAUCAAACACAGGUACAGACAUCAACUCUACAAUCACUGCAUCAAACACAGGUACAGACACUGACUCUACAAUCACUGCAUCAAACACAGGUACAGACACUGACUCCACAAUCACUGCAUCAAACACAGGUACAGACACUGACUCUACAAUCACUGCAUCAAACACAGGUACAGACAUUGACUCUACAAUCACUGCACCAAACACAGGUACAGGCACUGACUCUACAAUCACUGCACCAAACACGGGUACAGACACUGACUCUACAAUCACUGCAUCAAACACAGGUACAGACACUGACUCUACAAUCACUGCAUCAAACACAGGUACAGACACUGACUCUACAAUCACUGCAUCAAACACAGGUACAGACACUGACUCUACAAUCACUGCAUCAAACACAGGUACAGGCACUGACUCUACAAUCACUGCAUCAAACACAGGUACAGACACUGACUCUACAAUCACUGCAUCAAACACAGGUACAGGCACUGACUCUACAAUCACUGCACCAAACACGGGUACAGACACUGACUCUACAAUCACUGCAUCAAACACGGGUACAGGCACUGACUCUACAACCACUGCAUCAAACACAGGUACAGACACUGACUCUACAAUCACUGCAUCAAACACGGGUACAGGCACUGACUCUACAAUCACUGCAUCAAACACAGGUACAGACACUGACUCUACAAUCACUGCACCAAACACAGGUACAGACAUUGACUCUACAAUCACUGCAUCAAACACAGGUACAGACACUGACUCUACAAUCACUGCACCAAACACAGGUACAGACAUUGACUCUACAAUCACUGCACCAAACACAGGUACAAACACUGACUCUACAAUCACUGCACCAAACACAGGUACAGACAUUGACUCUACAAUCACUGCACCAAACACAGGUACAGGCACUGACUCUACAAUCACUGCAUCAAACACAGGUACAGACACUGACUCUACAAUCACUGCAUCAAACACAGGUACAGACAUCAAUUCUACAAUCACUGCACCAAACACAGGUACAGACACUGACUCCAUAAUCACUGCAUCAAACACAGGUACAGACAUUGACUCUACAAUCACUGCAUCAAACACAGGUACAGGCACUGACUCUACAAUCACUGCAUCAAACACAGGUACAGACACUGACUCUACAAUCACUGCAUCAAACACAGGUACAGACACUGACUCUACAAUCACUGCAUCAAACACAGGUACAGACACUGACUCUACAAUCACUGCACCAAACACAGGUACAGACAUUGACUCUACAAUCACUGCAUCAAACACAGGCACAGACAUUGACUCUACAACCACUGCAUCAAACACAGGUACAGACACUGACUCUACAAUCACUGCACCAAACACGGGUACAGGCACUCACUCUACAAUCACUGCAUCAAACACAGGCACAGACAUUGACUCUACAACCACUGCAUCAAACACAGGUACAGACACUGACUCUACAAUCACUGCAUCAAACACAGGUACAGACACUGACUCUACAAUCACUGCAUCAAACACAGGUACAGACACUGACUCUACAAUCACUGCAUCAAACACAGGUACAGACACUGACUCUACAAUCACUGCAUCAAACACAGGUACAGACACUGACUCUACAAUGACUGCAUCAAACACAGGUACAGACACUGACUCUACAAUCACUGCACCAAACACAGGUACAGGCACUGACUCUACAAUCACUGCACCAAACACGGGUACAGACACUGACUCCAUAAUCACUGCAUCAAACACAGGUACAGACAUUGACUCUACAAUCACUGCAUCAAACACAGGUACAGGCACUGACUCUACAAUCACUGCAUCAAACACAGGUACCGACACUGACUCUACAAUCACUGCAUCAAACACAGGUACAGACACUGACUCUACAAUCACUGCAUCAAACACAGGUACAGACAUUGACUCUACAAUCACUGCACCAAACACAGGUACAGACACUGACUCUACAAUCACUGCAUCAAACACAGGUACAGACACUGAUUCUACAAUCACUGCAUCAAACACAGGUACAGGCACUGACUCUACAAUCACUGCACCAAACACGGGUACAGACAUCAACUCUACAAUCACUGCAUCAAACACAGGUACAGACACUGACUCUACAAUCACUGCAUCAAACACAGGUACAGACACUGACUCUACAAUCACUGCAUCAAACACAGGUACAGACACUGACUCUACAAUCACUGCAUCAAACACAGGUACAGACACUGACUCUACAAUCACUGCAUCAAACACAGGUACAGACACUGACUCUACAAUCACUGCAUCAAACACAGGUACAGACACUGACUCUACAAUCACUGCAUCAAACACAGGUACAGACACUGACUCUACAAUCACUGCAUCAAACACAGGUACAGACACUGACUCUACAAUCACUGCAUCAAACACAGGUACAGACACUGACUCUACAAUCACUGCAUCAAACACAGGUACAGACACUGACUCUACAAUCACUGCAUCAAACACAGGUACAGACACUGACUCUACAAUCACUGCAUCAAACACAGGUACAGACACUGACUCUACAAUCACUGCAUCAAACACAGGUACAGACACUGACUCUACAAUCACUGCAUCAAACACAGGUACAGACACUGACUCUACAAUCACUGCACCAAACACAGGUACAGACACUGACUCUACAAUCACUGCAUCAAACACAGGUACAGACACUGACUCUACAACCACUGCAUCAAACACAGGUACAGACACUGACUCUACAAUCACUGCAUCAAACACAGGUACAGACACUGACUCUACAAUCACUGCAUCAAACACAGGUACAGACACUGACUCUACAAUCACUGCAUCAAACACAGGUACAGACACUGAUUCUACAAUCACUGCAUCAAACACAGGUACAGGCACUGACUCUACAAUCACUGCACCAAACACGGGUACAGACAUCAACUCUACAAUCACUGCAUCAAACACAGGUACAGACACUGACUCUACAAUCACUGCAUCAAACACAGGUACAGACACUGACUCUACAAUCACUGCAUCAAACAAAGGUACAGACACUGACUCUACAAUCACUGCACCAAACACAGGUACAGACACUGACUCUACAAUCACUGCACCAAACACGGGUACAGACAUAUACUCUACAAUCACUGCAUCAAACACAGGUACAGACACUGACUCUACAAUCACUGCAUCAAACACAGGUACAGGCACUGACUCUACAAUCACUGCACCAAACACGGGUACAGACAUCAACUCUACAAUCACUGCAUCAAACACAGGUACAGGCACUGACUCUACAAUCACUGCACCAAACACAGGUACAGACAAUGACUCUACAAUCACUGCACCAAACACAGGUACAGACAAUGACUCUACAACCACUGCAUCAAGCACACUAGUUGCACUGCAUGCAUGCAUGCCCAUACACACACUAGUUACACUACAUCCAUGUCCCUAUGUUCACACUGCUUACACUGCAUCCAUGUCCCCAUACACAUGCUGGUUUCACUGCAUCCAUAUCACCAUAUACACACUGCUUACUAUACAUCUCUGUCCUCAUACACAAAUUGGUUACACUGCAUCCAUGUCCAUACACACACUUCUUACACUGCAUCAAUAUCCCCAUACACACAUUGUGUCGCCGUGGGAACCUCAACGACAAUAGGUGCAAUGAUACCUGGCACCGCAGAAGGAACACUAGUAGUGAGACUAAGCACGAGCGAGGGGGACCUCAUGCCUCUUUGUACAGCCCUUGCGGCUGUUGAGCGGUCGACCAAACCGACGAAAGCUAACUAUCUAAGGGGGAAUCCCUGCUCGCUUGUGUCCCUGCUCCCACUGAUCCAAAAAAAACCUAAGACCCGUCAGGUACCCCCCUAGCAAAGGACCGAAUGAAGGCACUGCAAUGAAGAAACAGUGCUGUACUCACCAGCCGAUGCCCGAUGGCCCACCCGCGGCAAAGGAAUUGAUGGAAGAUCCAGGCAGGAUUGAGGUAAAUCCACUUUCACUAGUAUUCAGCCUUCCAGGAGUUCCAGACACCAUCUGCUGGGCAGUCCCAGGAACAGCAGCCAGAUUCUGUGAGAAGAGCAGUGGAGAGGAGAUUAAGCUCACACCCCGCAGAGGAGGGCACCCAAGGUAAGUAACCAGGGGAGAAAGAGGGACCAGCAGACGACACAGAGGGAACAGGAAGAAAGGGGGCAGAAGGGAGGAGAGAGAGAGAGGGCUAGAAAGUUGGACAGAGGCAAGGAGGGGAACCAGAACUAGGGGAGAAGGAACCAAAUAGGCAGGGGGGCGGGGCACAGAGUAAGAGGGCCCAACAAGAGAGGACAGGGAGGACACCAAAGGAGGGGAUGAGAGAACGGGGAACGAUGGACAGAAGCAGGGGAGGAGAGGGAGACACCCCAAGCUGACCCUGGUCUCCAGAGGACAUACCAGAACCCGCGUGUCGCGUGUCGGAUGGGGUAGACAAGCGGGCCUGGCGGCGCCUCAGGCCUGGGCUCCGGCUCAAGCGAGCAGGAUGACGGGAGCGUCGGCCCGUGCUCGUGCAGCCUACAGAGGUUGUGGCUGCAUGGGAGGCCCCAGCAGAGGCUUGGUCACGAGGAUGGGGGGGAACCAAGACCGGUAGCCAAACCAGGCUGGAGGUGAGCAAAUUUCUCACGGAGGCACCUGACACCAUCCAAGGCAGCUGAAGCUCUGAGGGCAGACAGGAUACCUUCCACAUCCAUCCUCAAGCAGAAAGUUUCCUAGGCCCAGGGCAAACAGGAGCAACAGAGUAAGGGUUCAUUGUUUGCUGGCCCGUCUCCCAAGAGGCACUGAGGUAAGAUGAUCCAUACACCACUCCCAUAUACACAUACAGCCAAUCACAAGCAUCCAUCCCCACCCUCAUACAUGUUCCCUUGUCCGCUUAGCUGUGCUAUCUCCCCGGGGCCUGGUUUCUCUAUCAGUGUGCUCAUACAUAAAUGCAGGAGCUCAGUUAUCUUGUUUUCUUGUAAAAUAUUUCAAAUAGCAAAUCGGUUAACAUUAUAAUUUAGGCAUCGCAUUCUCAGGAACGUAAAGGGUUUAAUCAUUCCUCACCCUUUUCUUCUUGUCAUAAAAUUACCUUCUUAAAAUCAGCACAUAGGAACGGAAAUCACAUAAUUGGCUGAGAUGCCUUUCUGUAUAAAACCUCUUCCAUAAACUGGCUGUGGAGUAAAAAUAAUUCCUUGCUCUGUAUGAAAGUUUAAUAGAAUAGCUCUGUGAGUAGAAUGAUUUAUUUAACACGCACUGAAUGGGACUUGGCUUGUGAUUUAUUGCAUUCUGAUUCAACUGACUCCAGGUUAUCCCAGGCGAGGGAUUUGGCAGCGAGGUAGCUGUGUAAAGUAGGUCGCGCAGCCUUUUCUCCCAGUCCUGCCCGCGCAUGUUAAGUAGAAAUGAAGACAAACUUCGUAGCCGAUCAUUGAUAGCAGUGAUGGGGAACAUUCAGCCCUCCAGAUGUUCUGCACUACAUUUCCCAUAAUGCUGUUAUAGCUAUAAUGCUGGCAAAGCAUCAAGGGAGAUGUAGUACAAAACAUCUAGAGGGCUGUAGGUCCUCCCUCCCUCCGAUUUACGGAGACACAGAAACUGAGCACGUUAGUUACAAACAACCCUGAUUAUUCUAGGAUAGCCUUGGUACAUAUCAAGAGAAAUUCUAUGCUUGACUUGUGAUCCUUCAAUGAUUCAUUGGGCACCUAUACCCACCAUGUUUUCCUACAGACAUUUCACGUCUACGUGUGGAUUCAGUACAUCCAGUGCCGGCCGUUCUAUGCAGCAUUUAUUGGCUGUAGGUGGGGAGCCGGUUAAUUCAUUAACCCUCUUAUGGCAGAUGCUAAACACAGAUAAGGGCAGCACGUGUCUAAGAGGUUUUCAUUUGUGGUCAUUUUUUGGGGGGUGGGGGGGGUCAGUGGAGAGUCCCUUUAACAUUGACUUGAAUGUAUCUCCUGAACCCACUGAAGAAGUGGUUUUAGUGUGUAGAUGUUGCUUUUAAAGAUCUCAUUCACAAUGAGAAAACUCUCCUGGAUUAAAAAUAUGUGUUUAGUUGCCACCUUGUUUUCAUUUUACAAAAAGUGCAAAUUUCAAUAAAAAUUGGCACUUUUAUUAAUGAACCUUGUUACACCUUGCUGGCUGUCAGACUAGUCCUGUUACUUCCUGGUUUAGCUCAGUGAAGCUAAACUCAAAAGGCGUCUCCUUGAGCUGCAUUGGGAAAUCUGUGAUUGGACAGCCACAGAAAGUCUGGACAGGGUUAGAAGGGGAGGGCUUGCAAAGGCUGCAAACAAGAGUUUUGCAGGUACAUAAUUAAGUGCAUGUUUUCACGGGAGGUAAAUCAGGUAAACAAAAUUUUUAUUGUAUCCGAGAGGGGGGUGAAGUGUCUCGUUAAUGACAGCCAAAAUUAUUUACUUGCAUUAACUGCUUUAUUAAGAGGUUAUUAAGGGCAUUUCUUUGGGAUCCUUCAUUAAAUACUUUUUUUCCCUCCAUAACAUUUACUCCUGGAUAAUGACGAUUACUAUGUGUCCAAUUAAAUAUGGGUGAUCUGACAACCAUAAAGACCUUGAGUUACGAAGAUCCUCUUUCCAUUGGUGGAAGAUUGGAAAACAAAUUUUCUGCUAUGACAUAAAUUUAGAGCAAACAUGAAUGGCGUGAAUCAAUGGGUCUGUAAUUAAUAUCAUAGAUUGGUUGUAAUGGUGUACUAAUGGCAAGCUUCGGACAUCUUAAAACCCGUGUAGUGAAUCUUACCAUAAGCAUCACUUUAAAUCACAGUCUACCAGGGCCGGUGCAAUGAUUUUUGGCUACACAGACGAAGACGCAUUUUGACACCCUCCUUAAAAAAAUGUGUCUUCACCUGUGUGUCUUGUAACUCCCCUUUUGAAUUUCUUACCCUCGUUAGUGUAUUUUAUCCCCCAUUACUAUGUCUUACAACCCCACUUGUGUAUCUGUUACUUUCCCCAGCCUGUUUGUGUUUCUCUUUCUUACCCUCGGGGGCUGAGAGGGGUGGACAAGGGCACAUGGGCUGCAGAGGGGGGACAGGAGCAGGAGAGGGGGUGGACAUGAGCAGGAGAAGGGGGUGGGCAGGAUCAGACGAGGGGGUGGACAGAAGCUGGAGAGAGGAUGGACAGGAGCAGGAGAGGGGGGUGGGCAGGAACUGGAGAGGGGGGUGGGCUGGAGCUCGAAAGUGGUGGACAGGAGCAGGAGAGUGGGUGGACAGGAGCAGGAGAGUGGGUGGACAGGAGCAGGAGAGGAGGUGGGCAGAAACUGGAGAGCAGGAGCUGGAGAGGGGGUGGACAGGAGCAGGAGAGGGGGGUGGACAGGAGCAGGAGAGGGGACUUGAAAAAAAAUCACCAGACGAAAUGCGUCGAGCAGUUUCUGAGAAACCCCGAGGACUGGAACCGUAAGCUGCUACCUAGAACUUCCACAGGACAUCACCAAGCUCCCCUUAUUUCUACCUGAGGACUGGUGACUGAAAAUUGGACUGACAUCCUGAGAUACCAUCGGCUGAUUUCAACCAGACGGGGACUAAGCCCUUUUAGUGGCUAAAAAGCUAUUUUGCAAAACAGAUAUAUUUCUCUUUGUGCCAUUUUAUUUGUGAGUUUUUCUCUAUUGUUUUUACAUUAAUUUUUUUGUCUAUCUUUAAAUACUUCACUAUGUAUUAUCUUCUUUUAUGUUUCUAUUACAUGCUUUAUACUGCCGUCUGAGUGGUAAAUAUAUUCACACAAACUAUACUACUUCUGUUUUUUUUUUCAUUUGUGGGAUUUGGGAGUGAUCCCUUAUUGAGUGACCAGCCUGCACUUUCCAUUUGCACUUUUCCCCACUCACCGAUUCCUUUUCUUAGUCAGCUAUGCCCUCAGUCUGGUUACACUGGCCUUAAAGGGACACUCCAGGCACCCAGACCACGUCUGCCCAUUGGAGUGGUCUGGGUGCCAACUCCCAUCACCCUUAACCCUGCAAGUGUAAUUAUUGCAGUUUUUAUUAACUGCAAUAAUUACCUCGCAGGGUUAAGUCCUCCUCUAGUGGCUGUCUAUCAGGCUUCCAGCUUUAUGUUUCAAAUUACACUGGACGUCCUCAAGCGAUGCAUGAGGACCUCCAGCGUCGCCAGAAUCCCCAUAGGAAAGCAUUAAAUAAUGGGGGGGUCUAAUGCACGCGAGCUGCCUGGAUUCAGGUAAGUCACUGAAGGGGUUUUAACCCCUUCAGCAACAUGGGAUGGGAUGUGGGAGGGAGAGGGGGGCACUGGAGGAUCCUGCAGUGCCAGGAAAAUGCUUUUGUUUUCCUGGCACUGGAGAGUCCCUUUAAAUUUGAAAUUCACUAUUGAAAUUCUCAUUUUACUAAAUUACAUUGUAUAUUCAUAGUAGAAGGUUGGGCUCUCCAGGGAUUGGAGAGGUAGGGACACAAUGAUCUCAAUGUAGUUAUUUUGGAUAAGCUUCAAAUGAUCACAAUCAGUUCGAAAAAACUCUUCAAAUGAUUUUUCUACAGGGUGCCAAUAAAGUCUGUGGGAAGUUUUGUAUCAAAGUAAUUCUAACAAACUAUGAUCAUUAAUCAAGGACAAUGUGCAUUAUACAAAGGACAUGUAAAAUCAAUGGGAUGAGAGAAGGCUACACCUGGCAGAGAAAGCAGUGUGAGAUUUAUUAGUAUUUAUAUAGAGUCAACAUAUUCUACAGUGCAUAACAAUUGUAGAAAGCGGGUAUUUAGAGGUGAUGAAACCCUUGCUCAAGUGAGCUUACAAUCUGAGAGUAUUUGUGGUAGGCAAAUGUAUAUCAUUAGGUGUCUUCCCAUGGACGCUUAGUGAUAUUACCACUGUGCUAAACAGCCAAUAUGUGUUAGGGUAACAUUGUACUAUAAUUGAAGCGUUUAAUAAACUUGGUAACAGUUGUCAAGGAUCAGGCCCAUUACGUUCAUUUCAGAGUUCUAUCACAGCCUGAUAGAACUCUUUGGCCAAUAAAACCCAGACACAGCAGCUUCGAUAUGAAACUCCCCUUGUAUAGUAUAUAGAAUGACAGGACACAGGAGAAAGGAAAAACUGCAAGCAGCUGUGAGUUUGGAUUAGUCCAUGGAUUGUCCCUCUGCUGAUGCAUUGUUAUUUGGUGCACACAGACUAGGAGAUCAGUAAAGAGCUGCGGUUAGAGCUGGUAGGGUGUGAAGCUUGCCAGGAAGGAAGUUCAAAGCAUCUGGUGGUAGGAAGUGGUUCUACCUCGCACAGAACAGGCAACAAAAGCAAGACACGGAUAGAAUAAUAUAUUAUAUUACUGGUCAAUGGUAUGGCCAGCCUCAACCCAAGCUUGGUCAAACCAACACUGAUAACAGGACGGAUCCUAAGGUCACUGAUGCCUGGGUGCAAGAAAAUUUUUGGCAUGCCAGGUGUGUGGCUGUAUUACUAACACCUCCCCUUCAUAAACAUAACAUUUCUAACCACACCCAUUUUAUAUGCAAGCCACUCCACCUCUUUGAGCCCCACAACUUCAACAGUCACCCACUUCCUACAGUGCCAGCUUUGCUUCAAAAAAGAUUAUCAGUGCCAUCUUUGUGCCCAGCUACCCAGUGCCAUCUCUGAACCAAUACAUUUUCCCAGUGCCAUCUUUGUGUCCAGCUACCCAGUGCCAUCUCUGUACCAAUACAGCUUCCCAGUGCCAUCUUUGUGUCCAGCUACCCAGUGCCAUCUCUGUACCCAUCCAGCUUCCCAGUGCCAUCUUUGUCCCAAAAUAACUCAUCAGUGUCAUCUUUGUGUCCAAAUUGCUUACCAGUGCCAAGGGCGGAUCCUGAACCUAUCUCAGUAGGAGCAUUGGUACUGGGUUGUAAUGAGGUGGUAGGGGAUGUAAUUGAGGUGUUGGGGGCUGUAGUGGGGAGCUAUGGCUGUUGGGGUGGGAGAGAGACUGUAGUAGGAUGGUUAGGAGCUGUAGCAGAGGGUAUAGGUUGUAAUUGUGGCUCUAGAGCAUAAGGGCUAAAUAAAUACUAGUUUAUUCUCCCCUUCCUGAAACAUACCUUGCACCAAGGAGGGGGUAAUCCUGAUUCCCAGUGGUCCCAGGCACUGACUGUGAUAAGCAGACCAGGGUAUAAUUAAACAGAAGGGCAACAUCUGCCUUUAUAGCCAAAUAAUAUUUUAACAAUGUGCUGUCAGUUUGGGAAUUCACAUUCCCAAUAAAGUAAAUCCAGAUUCUGUAUACAUACCAUUACAGCUGUGUGAUGCUGAUGGCAGGUUCAGUUUAAAGUUAUUAUACUGGAUGUAGAAAAAACAGCUCCUGACUAUAUAAGCAAAUGUUGUAAAUUAUUAGGAGUGAAUCCGGUUAAUAGUGAAAUUUUAACCCCUCAAAAAAAAAGGUACCUGCGGACUAUCCCAAAUCCUGAUGCACAUUUAAAUAACUAGAAGUAAUAAUGAAAAGAAUGUUUUGUAAAUACAGUAUAAAUAAGCACACACAAAACAAAAGCAUGAUUCCUACACUAACAAUGAGACAGGAAGGGGUAUUUUUCUAAAACCCUUAAAGAGAUCCUAACAGUGCCAGGAAAACAAACCCCGUUUUCCUGGCACUAUAGACUCCUGGAGUGCCCCCCUCUCUCGGGGCUGAAUGGGUUAAAUUCCAUUCAGCCACUUACCUGGGUCAUGCUCCCCCCACGCUCCUACGCUGACAUCAGCUGGCGGGUGAGACCUAAUGCGCAUGCGCAGCAAUGGCUAUGCACGCAUUAGACCUCACCACAGGAAAUCAUUAUUCAAUGCUUUCCUAUGGGACAAAUCUGAUGCUGGAGGUCUGUGAGGCUGUCCAGCGUCAGAUAACGGACCAAAAGUCAGUUAGAAUUUCGGAAGCCCUGUAGUGGCUGUCUGUUAGACACAGAUGGCAGACUUAGUUCUCUGGAACUGCAACUUUUUACAUUGCAACACUAUGUGCAAAAGAGACACAGCACCCAGACCACUUCAAUGAGUCUGGGUGGAUACAGUGUCCCUUUAAUAGGGAACACAUGGGGUGGGCGGCAGCACUGUAACAUGGCUGUGUAAUACAAAAGUAAAUACAAACAAAAGAGUCCUGCACUUAAACUCCCACUACCUGUGGGCGGCAGCAAUGGCAAUAGCACAGCCCCAAUACAGACAAUAAAAACCACAAAAGAUAAAAGAGCUGUAAUUCUGCCUAAAUACAUUUGCAAACUUGUACAAAUUGAGAUGCAUCCCCCAAAAAUGCUCAAAUCAAGUGCUGAUACCUGCUUAGAAAAGUAUGGAAACCGUGCCGCAGUUCCAGUUUACGAGACAGAGUAAGCAGUUGUGUGAGUAAUAUGGGCAAGAUAAACGCAAGCAGUGAUACGUUCUAAAGGUGUUUCAGUAGUAAGAAGCCAAAUCUGACGUUAUAGAAUUAAGAAGGGUUGGGCACUCAGACGCUGAGUACAGGAGCUGGAUGUAAUGAAUUAUUGUAUGGGAAUUAUGUCCUGUAUUAUAACUAUGAAGGUCUUCACUGACACUUGAACCACAGUAUGCUAAAACCAACAGCAAUUAACAAACAGGGCUAUUCACUAACGUGAGAAUUGUCAAGAAUUUCUAAUUUAAGGUCAAAAAAGCCAUACUGGAGUCAGCUACGCUUCCAGAUCCACUGUUUUGGCCUUAAAGGAAUAUUAGGAAUACAAAUCAAAUCUAGUGUCCCUGUCCCUAUCUGCAGAAGACCUUACACCCCCUCCUCAUUUCUGAUGGAGGAAUACAGAAUGUGGAGAUUCAGUGAGAUGAGGACAGUGUACAUCUGGGAAAGGUUGUGAUGGGUGGAGGGAUGGUUUUGGUUAGUUCCUAAAGAGCAUGAGGGAGGGGGGCUGUUUCUGUGGUAUUGAUGGGGACUGUCAUUAUGGCCACAUCGUUUUUUUUUUUAUUACAAUAUUUUUAGGUAUCUGUAUUCCUAGAAAUGCUAUCAUGUUCCUUAUGAAGAUCCAUUAGUAUACUGACUAUUUCUAUCACUCCUUUAUGGUGAAUAUUAUUUAUGUCUAAAACCUUUUAACACCUUACAACAUUUCUGAAAAGAUUAAAUAUUAAAGGAACACAAUAGGGUCAGGAACACAAACAUGCAAACAUGUUUUCCUGACCCUAUAGUGUAAAAAUCACAAUCUACACCCUCACCCCCACUUCCCCCUAGCCUCCCUAAAUAUAGUAAAAUCUUACUUGUAUGCAAGUGUAAAGCUGCUGCCUCUGCCCCUGAUCUUCUUGCUUCAGAAGUGGUGGUCUGAGCCAAUCACAGUGCUUCCCCGUAGGAUUGGCUGAGACUGUCAAAGAGGCAGAUCAGGGGCAGAGCCAGCACAAGUCAAACACAGCCCUGGCCAAUCAGCAUCUCCUCAUAGAGAUACAUUGAAUGAACGCAUCUCUAUGAGAAAAGUUUCUCCAUGCAGAGGGUGAAGACUCUGAAUGUCAGUACUGCUCACUGUGCUGCACUGCCCCAGGAAGCACCUCUAGUCGCCAUCUGAGGAGUGGCCAGUGGAGGUAUCACUAGACUGUAAUGUAAACACUGCAUUUUGUCUCAAUACAUAGUGUUUACUGCAAAAAGCCUGAAGGGAAUGAUUCUACUCACCAGGACAAACACAAUAGUAGUUGUAGUUGUUUUGGUGACUAUAGUGUCCCUUUAAGCUAACGUUGUCACUAUAGUGUUUCUUUAAAUGAAAAACACUAUAUAUUGUGUCCUGCUUUGCAGCCGGGGGUCAGUUUAAUGUUUAUUACACAAACCUGACCACGUGAGGUAGAAUAGUAAAUCACAAUCCGUUUUACACAAUUUCAGCACAAUUCACUAAACUACAAACUGUGGAAGAAUGAUAUAAAUUGCAGUUUUAAGGCCAAAAUAUGUAUCAUUAAAUUAGCAAAACCCACAAUUUCAAUUAAGGGAUCAAGCCUUUUUGCACAAUUUUUGUUUUCAAUUAUUUCCAUGUGUUAAUAAAAUUUUCAAUUAUUUGAAAAACGUCCGACCUGAGACGUUUUAGAAAAUGAAUUAGAACGCACACAGUGUCUAUACAUCCAAAGAGGUUUUUUUUAAAUGCUCCAAUCAUGAAUGAAUACCAUGGUAUAAUAAAGUCUAAUCGCUGCAGAUAACCAUUUGUUUUGUGCUUUUAGGACUCUGAGGAAGUCGAAAGUUAACCAAGAAGAGGAGAAAGUGGACUCUGUGGAAUGAUUUAGUGUGCGUUUCCUGGAUACCGUGUACUAUGCAUGCAACAUUAAACCUUCAUCCAGCUGACAAUAAAUAAAGUGCCCUUGCUACAA